rnacentral:snoRNA from 1 species
GCCCCGUGAUGAGAACAAGGCAAAUACGAGCUGAUUGGCUGGGAUCUUGUGUUCUCUUGCUCUCUGACUGGUGGGUAAUCUUGGCAGAGCAGUGGAGAUUGGCUGCGCUGCUGUAAGGGCCCACCCAUAUUGAUGCUGGCUGUCAAGCAUAAUACAAUUCUCCUUUAGAAAUGGACAUUUGUGGAUGAUUUGGCAGCUGACAGUGUGUGUGUGUUUGUUUGAGUAUGUCCCGAGUGUGUGUGUGUAAAUGUGUCAGUCAGCAAAGAGUCACAUCUCCUAAAAUGGGCCCACCAGCUGUGAAUGUUUUCUUUGGUAAUCUGAGGGCA